rnacentral:tRNA from 3 species
GCCGGUGUGGCGAAAUUGGUAGACGCAGCGGAUUCAAAAUCCGCCGGACUAAUCCUCCGUGUCGGUUCGAGUCCGACCACCGGCACCA